AAUCGUUAACCUUUCCAGAUCACCUUGGCUGCAACAUUCGCUUCCUCCUUGACCACGGAUGUACUGGCAUCGAAGUGGAGCGGAUGACGAAAGGCCGGUUUGUUCCGGCCUUUUUGUCUU
rfam:Rhizobium tibeticum isolate CCBAT85039 genome assembly, contig: CCBAT85039_contig4